CAGGUUGCUGGUGUAUUUCCUCUGGAGCCACAUUCACAAACAGCCACAUGUUCCAGGAUGAGAUUCUUGUUUUUAUUCUGCAUGGACUACUUCCUGUGGACUGUGGUCAUGAAUAAGGGAASAUGCUGCAGUAAAUGACASCAUUUCUGCAGUGGAUGAUGAUCUUAACUAGGAAAAGAAAAACUCAGAAGCAGGAAGGAGAAAUAAACGUGAUGCUCUUGGAAACCAGGAAGUUCUGCUCCUGCGAUCGGACCUUCUCCAGCUGCGUCUGCAGGUUGGUGAACAGAACCGAAGCCAUGGACUCGUCGUUGACCGCAGA